GGAAGGUCCCUGUCAUCAAUCUUCCCUGGUAAAUGAGCUUCUCAGUGCAGGGACCCUGGGCCCAAAGGAUGCGCUAUUCUCCUGGCUCUUGCUUCUUGGUGGUAUGGGGCCCCGGUAUUCUAUCUUCAUACUAUAACCAAAGUGAUCUUCUCAAAAUGUAAUUCUAAUCAUGUUAUUUGCCUGUUUAAAUCUCUUCUCUGAUCAUAACCAGAGCCCUAUAGGCAUUAUCCCUGCCUUUCUCAAGUCACUCUGCCUAGCUCUCCACUACAACCAUUUUCUUUCCAUCCACAGAACCUUUGAACAAGAUAUUCCUUCUCUAUGAACUGCUUUUUCUUCUCUGCUGAGGUUACCCUUUCGUGAGCGUUCGCAUGAGACACAAAUAUCUUCACUACUUUGGCCUAUUUAGAGAGGUCUGUCCGCAUACCUCUUCCCAUACCUCCUUGUCUCCAAUUUUCCAGUCAUGUUCCUUCCAAGUCCCUGACCAUCCAGCCAAACCAUUGGCCAGAUGUGCAGUAUAGAAUUGCACAUCUGGCAAUUUCCCUUCAUCACUGUCCUUCAGGGAGGUCCCAGAAAGGGGCUGUAGUGCAGCCACUGUCCAUUUAUAUUUGAAGCAGACCACACCCUCAAGGAAACUCGCUUUCAAAUGAGUGGCUACUCACAGCAGAUCCCAUCAUCAUGGACGUGAUCGCACAUCAUACAACUGCCAAACCACUAAGAAUCACAGCCCAGCCAAGUUGACACAAACCUUAACGAUCACACUGAUGAAGGUUUGGAGUCUAUUGAAGAAAAGUCAGUCUGUGACAACGACCGGCACAUCAAAUAGGAAUGGCUAUCAUGAAGCCUGUGCUUCGAAAGGAGGCAGAGCCAGGAUGAGUCACAAGCAGCAUGAGUCACAACGUCUUCUGCAAGGAGACAUUUUUUUGGCAAAAGGAGAAAUUUGCAAAAACAGACUUCAUAAUAUUCCAGGCAUCAAAAUGCAUGAGCCCAACCAGGGGUUUUCCAUUAAUGGCAAGAAUUUCAUCUCCAGCUUCUAUUAUUCCAGCUUGUUCAGCUGCACCACCUGUAAGAAUAAAUUCAGAGUAAGUAGAAGAAUUGAUGUAUUUGAAUUGUGGAAUUGGCAAAGAAUAUUGACUAUACCGUGGACUGCCAGAGAAUGAAUAAAUUAGUCUUAGAAGAAAUACAACCAGAAUGUUACUUAGAAGCAAGGAUAAUAAGAUUCAGCUUGCUUACUUUGGACACAUCAUCAGGAAAGACCAAUCACUAGAAAAGGACAUCAUGUCUGGUAAAGCAGAUGGUCAGGGAAAACUAGGGAAACCCUUAGUGAGAAGGAUUGUCACAACAGCCGCAGCAAUGGACUUGAGCAUAAAAAUGAUGCAGGACUGUGCAACUUUUGUUCUGUUGUACAUAAGUCACCGUGAGUGGGAGCUGACUCGACGGCAACUAACAAAAACGAGUGCUUUCGCUUAUGUAGUAUUUUAAAUAGAUUUCAAGUCAAUUAAAAACUUAAAUGAGAAAAAUCUCUAAACUCUAUGUUUACAUCCUCAGAAUAGGGAAAUACUUCCUAAACAAGAUACAAAAAGCAUAUACCCAUAAAAAUAAAUUGAACAACAUUAAAAAACUCUGUAGCAUCCACCCCCCAAAUAAUGUAAACAAGAUAAAAAUAAGAAACCGACUAGGAAAAGAUAUUUUCAAUAUAUUUAAUCAACAUAAGAUUAAUACCCAGAUUGGAUAAAGAACUACAGGUAGUCCCCAGUUUACGACUGUUUUUCUUUCUUUUUUGGGGGGUACAUCUUAUCAUUAGUAAUAUAUGUGUGUAUGUCUUAAAAUAUAUCUGUAAGUUUAUAUGUAAUGUUUCCAACCCCUAAAGACAAGAUACUGAUAACAAAAAGCAAUAAUAACAAAAACUAAAAAAAAAAAAGAAGUAUUACACUUACGUCAGAAACCGACUUACGACAGAGCUGUCAGAUGGAACCCCGUCUUAAGUCGGGGACUACCUGUACAAAUCAAUGAGAAUAAUACAAAAUAAAGAGAAAACCGGGCAAAGGAAGUCAAUAGCUUAAAUACCAAUGGCAAUAAACGCAGGAAAACAGGCUCCGCUUUUACUGUUAACAGAUAUUGGCUGAUACACCAAGUUCUGACAAUCAGUUACUACAUGGUUAUCAAUGACUGUGGAGAUUACUAAACUGAUUAAUUACACGCAAAAAAGUUUAUAUAUUUCUACAUUAUAACUUUUUGUAUGUAAUAGCUUUGAAGAAAACACAAGUUUAAGCCCUCCUCCACUUACUUCCUGAUACAUAUAUGUCUUCUAAAACAAAAAUACUGAAAAAGACAUGUAUAAUGGCUAUGGAGCCUCUUUAUGCAAAAAAUAAUGUUGAAAGAGAAAAAUGCCAAAGCAUGAAAAUAAGAAUUUUCUCAGAAAUCUUAAUUAGAUCGCAACAAGUCUGAUAGUUAUCAUAAUUUCCCCCUUUUAACUAAGAUGAUUUAUUGGGGGAAAUAACUAAUAUAAACAUAAGUAUUUUUUCCUGUAUUUCUUGGCUGACGUGGUUUCAACUUUUGUCACUGUCUAUUCAUUUCCAUUACCCAGUUUUUCUCUUUAUUUUAUAUAUUUCCAUUGAAUUGUAGUUCUUUAUAUAUUUUAGAAUUAGCCCUUUGUUGAUUAAAUUCAUUGCAUGUAUCUUCUAGUUGUCACUUAUAUUUUUUUAUUUUUGCUUAUGAAUUUUUUUGCUAUACAGAAGUUAAACAUUUUUUUGCUUUUUGUGUAUUGUUUAAGAAACCCUCCUAUUGUAAUUUUUAAUAAUGGUUAUUGCUGAUAUAUAGGAAAUGCUAUUGAUUUCUGUAUGUUGACUGUAAAUCCAACAACCUUGGUUAACUAUUUAGGCUUGAUAUUUGAGUCUCGGAUUAUUUUUCAAUCAGGAAAAACAAUCUGCCAAUAAUGAAUAAUUUUGUCCCUAUAUUUCCAAUUUUAUAUCUCUUUUUAUUAUAUUCCUUUUUUUUUUUUUUUUGGUAAAAUGAUAAUAGAGACACUUUUAAAAAGCAGCCCAAACAAAUUACUGUACUAUUGAAAAUGUUCUAAUUCUUACCUGGGUAGCUGCUGCUUCACAGAGGAGGUUACAAAUUUAAGUAUUUACUUUUUUCAUAGAUAGAUAAAACCCUUGACCUUCAAGAAAGCUUGAGGGAAUUAUGACAUUUAAUUCCUUUAUUAUUCAAAGAAAAUUUUUUUGUUUUAAACCUAUGCAAGAUAGCAGUAUUGCUGUAUUUCUUUCUGCUGCUUGAGCUAAAAGGCACAGAAAAACAAGAUGAACAGAUGACUUGUACCCAUGAAAUAGGUAAGAAGACAGAAUCUGUGGAUAAGCUCUAAGCCUGUACAAAUCAACUAGACAGAUUCAUUAGUCUCCAAAAAGAAUGAAGGGAACGGCCUACUCUUAAAUACAGAAAUACAGAAUGCCUUUUCACAAAAAUUAAAACUGCAGGCUCACACACAAGAGCAUCUAAAAUGCUGGUCCAUGGCACAGACACUUCUUUCUCCUUCUUUUCUAUUUAUUACAGUAAUUUUCAUAGAUUUCUGGCCAGAUGCCACAGACAAAGGCCAAGAAGCAUCCAGGACACCAUCCCUGCUCUGCUUGAGGUAGGUAUGGAGGAUGCUCAUCUCUCCUGAGGCUCCCUCUCCACUGCAACUACAGUGGCAUCCCCAAGCUGACUCAGCGGAUCUAGCUGCUGCUUUAGCCAGCUUCAGCUUCUGAUCCAUUCAUUUGCAGGCUUAGGACACCUUUUGGCUGUGUCCUUCUUGGCCUUCAGAGGCUGCUGGGUGACUUUUCAGUGGCCAAGGUGAUGGCCACUCCAUCUUCCUUCACUGUGUCUUGCUAUUACUCCUGAAUGACAGUUUAUCUGGGUACAAUGUUUUAGGCUGACAAGUAUUUUUCCUCAGUCCUCUGAAGGUGUUAUUCCGUUAUUUUCUGGCAUUCAUGGUGGAUGAGGAUUGCUGCUUCUAAUUUGAUUGUAGUGCCUUUGUGAGUAAUCUGAAUUUUCUGUUAGCUUUUCAGAUUUUUUUAUUCUUUAUAAACCUUAACAUAUCAUAAUAAAAUUUCAGAAUAUAAAAUUCAUCCUGUUUUGCUCUCUGAUGCAUUUUUUAAUCUGAGUACUCCUGUCUUAGUUCUGGAAAUUUUUUAGUCAUCAUAUCUCCAAAUAUUUCCUUUCUCUCAUUCUGGUUUUUCUUUCUGGAGCUCCUCAAUAUAUCCUUGUAUUCUCAUCUCUUUAUUUAUAUUUCUCUACUGCAAUUUGUAUGGUUCCUUCCUUUCUAUCUCAAUUUUUAUAAAUUUCUCUUUUCACAUGGGUUUACUCUGUUUUUAAAUUCUAUUUCUUAAUUUUUUAAUUAAAAAAAAAUCUGCUCCUUUUGAAUACUCUCUUGGUCUUAUUUCACAGGUAAUAUUCCUGCCUUUAUUUUUUAAUUGGUUCUCCUGUUUAUUGGGUCUGUGGCUAUCUCUCACGGCAGUGGAUUCUGCCACUAAUAGCUGUGUUUCCUUACAUGUUUAUUUAACUUCCCUGUGACUCAGUUUCUUCUUUUGUAGAAUGGGGAUAAUGAUAGUACCUACCUGAUAGAGUUGUCACAUGGACAACGUAAGUUAAUACCCGUAAAACACUCAGAACAGGGCUGACACAGUAAACUCUACAUAUCACAAAGCACUAAAAAAAUUUUUAGAUUAAACAUUUUUUAAAACAAAUUUGGUUUCCAAAUGGAAGGCACUGAUAUUUCACUGAAGCAUACACAGAAAGAAAACAGGGAACAAAAAGCUGAUUGAGUGUUCUAGAACAUUACCUUUGUAUACUCUUUUAAUGAACAGAGGCCCA